GGACGCAAGUCUGAACCAGCCAUGCCGCGUGAAGGAUUAAGGUCCUCUGGAUUGUAAACUUCUUUUAUUUGGGACGAAAAAGGGUCUUUCUAGACCAACUGACGGUACCAGAUGAAUAAGCACCGGCUAACUCCGUGCCAGCAGCCGCGGUAAUACGGAGGGUGCAAGCGUUAUCCGGAUUCACUGGGUUUAAAGGGUGCGUAGGCGGGUAGGUAAGUCAGUGGUGAAAUCCNGGAGCUCAACUUCAGAACUGCCAUUGAUACUAUUUAUCUUGAAUAUUGNGGAGGUAAGCGGAAUAUGUCAUGUAGCGGUGAAAUGCUUAGAUAUGACAUAGAACACCUAUUGCGAAGGCAGCUUACUACGCAUAUAUUGACGCUGAGGCANGAAAGCGUGGGGAUCAAACAGGAUUAGAUACCCUGGUAGUCCACGCCCUAAACUAUGAUUACUCGACAUUUGUGAUACACAAUAAGUGUCU
rnacentral:rRNA from 1 species